UGGCCAUCGGCUGCACAAGACUCUCGGACUUCUUUUUGGUGACAAUCUAGCAAGAGAAAAGUGGAGAUUGGAAAACACUGGGGAAAACAUGUUUUGCUUUGGAGCUUUUAAUCACAUUCUUACCAUUUCCUCGCUCCUCCUGCAGGCCAGGCAGUCUGGGUACAUCUGCCUGGGGCCCCUGGCACGCCUCCACCUUGGCCCCCGAAGGGCUUCCACCUUUAUCAGGUGACUUUGCUUCCCCGGACUCUGAGUCAGAAUCAGGGAGAUUCCAGAUCCAGGGUUUGUGUGUUUGCUCCAGGAGUCUGCGACUCAGUCUGUACUUCACCAGCUCCUCGUAACACUUUGUGCCUGCCGGCUGGCAAAGGAAAGCAUCACUGCAGGCCCAACGUUCCAGUUGUGUCUAAAGAAGGUCACACUCUUGAACACGACUCAAGGUGUCAAGUGUCUGUCGUGCACUCCUGGUCCAAAACGGACAUGUUGCUCCUGCUGCCCGGGCACAUUCCUGGCAAGUCAGACAUGGAAGGACCUGUCCUUCACUGGAACACUGGGAUAUGGAGACCUGUAUGAUGGAUAGAACCCUGUCAACUCCUCUUCACCCUUGCAUGUUUGGAACCCUGUUUGACCCCCCCUGUGCAAUUUAUAGUAUUUUGUAGCCAACCAGUUUUUAAUCGUAGAAAAUGAUAAAGCAAGGCCAAAAAUACCAAAUAAUGGUCUUUAAUAAAUUAUUAUUAGGUAUAUACACUUACAUUCACAUGUGUUGGGCAACAUGUUGUUGUUGUUAUUUUUUUAUUAAAGUUUUUUUUUUGGUUGGAUGCAUGGUUCAGAGGUGUUUUUUCACAGCUUUUCUCCGUACAACACUUGGCAACAGACAGCAACAGUACAGAUGAUGCACAAUUGUUCACACAAUGCAUGGUUAAGAACAGCACAGACAGGCAGUCCGUUGACAUCGAAGUGUUGCAGUGCCGCAGAGGCCGAGCCUCUUCUUCUUUCUUCUUGCCCUCGCUUGGUCUCCGCAUAGCUGGUCGUGGCGGAGAAGCUGGGGCAGAACGGUGAGGACUUAGAAGCACUUCCUGUGGACAAUGCUGGG